AGUACUGUUCUCAGUUCGGACUGCAGUCUGCAACUCGACUGCACGAAGCUGGAAUCGCUAGUAAUCGCGGAUCAGCACGCCGCGGUGAAUACGUUCCCGGGCCUUGUACACACCGCCCGUCACACCAUGGAAGUCUGCAAUGCCCGAAGCCGGUGGCCUAACCACUUAUGUGGAAGGAGCCGUCUAAGGCAGGGCAGAUGACUGGGGGUGAAGUCGUAACAAGGUACC
rnacentral:rRNA from 1 species